AUUGAACGCUGGCGGCAUGCUUUACACAUGCAAGUCGAACGGCAGCGCGGGCUUCGGCCUGGCGGCGAGUGGCGAACGGGUGAGUAAUACAUCGGAACGUGCCCAGUAGUGGGGGAUAGCUCGCCGAAAGCCGGAUUAAUACCGCAUACGACCUGAGGGUGAAAGCGGGGGAUCUUCGGACCUCGCGCUAUUGGAGCGGUCGAUGGCGGAUUAGCUAGUUGGUGGGGUAAAGGCCUACCAAGGCGACGAUCUGUAGCUGGUCUGAGAGGACGACCAGCCACACUGGGACUGAGACACGGCCCAGACUCCUACGGGAGGCAGCAGUGGGGAAUUUUGGACAAUGGGCGAAAGCCUGAUCCAGCAAUGCCGCGUGUGUGAUGAAGGCCUUCGGGUUGUAAAGCACUUUUGGCGGGAACGAAAAGGACUGUGCCAAUACCACGGUUCGAUGACGGUACCCGCAGAAUAAGCACCGGCUAACUACGUG
rnacentral:rRNA from 1 species